GCGCACCAGGCGCGAAUACUUUACAAUGUGCGAAAGCACGAUAAGGGAACUCUGAGUGCCUCCUAAGGAGGCUGUUCAGGUGUCUAAAAGCACCUGAAGGAAGGGCUGGGUAAGACCGGUGCCAGCCGCCGCGGUAACACCGGCAGCCCAAGUGGUAGCCACGUUUAUUGGGUCUAAAGCGUCCGUAGCCGGCUGGGUAAGUUCCUUGGGAAAUUUGGCUGCUUAACAGUCAAGCUCUCAGGGAAUACUGCCCGGCUUGGGACCGGGAGAGGUCAGAGGUACUCCAGGGGUAGGGGUGAAAUCCAUUAAAUCCUUGGGGGACCACCGGUAGCGAAGGCGUCUGACCAGACCGGGUCCGACGGUGAGGGACGAAGGCUAGGGGCGCGAACCGGAUUAGAUACCCG
rnacentral:rRNA from 1 species